GAGGGUAUAGCUCAGUGGUAGAGUGUGUUGCUUAGCAUGCACAAGGUCCUGAGUUCAAUCCCCAGUACCUCCA
rnacentral:tRNA from 1 species